GCAAGUGAUGAUAGACCAGACA
rnacentral:miRNA from 1 species